UACGGAGGGUGCGAGCGUUGUCCGGAAUCACUGGGCGUAAAGCGUGUGCAGGCGGGCUAGCAAGUGGUGUAUGAAAGCUCCCGGCUCAACCGGGAAGGGUUAUGCCAGACUGCUAGUCUUGAGUGCGAGAGAGGAGCGUGGAAUUCCGGGUGUAGUGGUGAAAUGCGUAGAGAUCCGGAGGAACCCCAGAGGCGAAGGCGGCGCUCUGGCUCGCAACUGACGCUCAGACACGACAGCAUGGGGAGCAAACGGG
rnacentral:rRNA from 1 species